AUCGCUUCUCGGCCUUUUGGCUAAGAUCAAGUGUAGUAUCUGUUCUUAUCAGUUUAAUAAAAAUUAGUCAUGAAAAUGUGCAAGUCCACAUUAAAAUCCACAGAUAAAGUUUUAUUUGAGCAAUUGCUAUUUUGAAGUAUGAUCCACU
rfam:Myotis davidii contig17114, whole genome shotgun sequence.